CACUGGAUAGCUCAGUCGGGUAGAGCAGUGGACUGUUAAUCCACCUGUCGCGGGUUCGAGUCCCGCUCCAACGA
rnacentral:tRNA from 1 species